rnacentral:rRNA from 1 species
UACGUAGGGUGCAAGCGUUGUCCGGAAUUAUUGGGCGUAAAGGGCUCGUAGGCGGUCUGUCGCGUCGAAAGUGAAAACCCAGGGCUUAACCCUGGGCCUGCUUCCGAUACGGGCAGACUAGAGGUAUGCAGGGGAGAACGGAAUUCCUGGUGUAGCGGUGAAAUGCGCAGAUAUCAGGAGGAACACCGGUGGCGAAGGCGGUUCUCUGGGCCUGUACUGACGCUGAGGAGCGAAAGCGUGGGGAGCGAACAGG